UACAGAGGUCUCAAGCGUUGUUCGGAUUCAUUGGGCGUAAAGGGUGCGUAGGCGGCGCGGUAAGUCGGGUGUGAAAUUUCGGAGCUUAACUCCGAAACUGCAUUCGAUACUGCGGUGCUUGAGGACUGGAGAGGAGACUGGAAUUCAUGGUGUAGCAGUGAAAUGCGUAGAGAUCAUGAGGAACACCAGCGGCGAAGGCGGCGCUCUGGGCCGGAACUGACGCUGAGGAGCGAAAGCGUGGGUAGCAAACAGG
rnacentral:rRNA from 1 species